CGCACCUCGCUCCGAUAGAUGGGGCCGAGUGAGACUACCUAGGUGACGAUCCAUAGGCGCACCGAGACGACGAUCUCUCGCUGUGCUGAGGAGACGCUCACCCACCCCGUAACUGAGACACCGCCCAGACUCCUUGGGCAGGGGGCGCUGGCCUGUUCCGCCCAUGGCGCGAGACCCUGAAGCGCCCUUGCCGCGUGAGUGACGUUCGCCUUCGAAUUGUAUGACACUUUCCGUGGAGAAGAACGCUAUCGUGUUCAUGCCGCGAGCCACUGACGUUCGCCACAGAAUAACCUCCUGCUAACUCCCUGCCCGCAAACGCCACAAUACGGAAGCUGCCAGCGUUGUUCGAAAUUACUGGGCUUAACCCUUACACUGGCUUUUCUUCUGGCAAGAUGGAAUUCCCCCGAGCUCAACCUGAUACCGACUUUUUGAACUGAAGACCUCGAUUUUUGAAGAAGCUCCUAGGCUUUCCUGUGUUCCCUGGCAUCGCGUCAGAUCUUGGAAGG
rnacentral:rRNA from 1 species